UACGUAGGGUGCGAGCGUUAAUCGGAAUUACUGGGCGUAAAGCGUGCGCAGGCGGUUCGCCAAGUCAGGUGUGAAAGCCCCGGGCUCAACCUGGGAACUGCAAUGGAAACUGGCGGGCUUGAGUGUGGCAGAGGGGGGUGGAAUUCCGCGUGUAGCAGUGAAAUGCGUAGAGAUGCGGAGGAACACCGAUGGCGAAGGCAGCCCCCUGGGCCAACACUGACGCUCAGGCACGAAAGCGUGGGGAGCAAACAGG
rnacentral:rRNA from 1 species